GACGAACGCUGGCGGCGUGCUUAACACAUGCAAGUCGUACGGUAAGGCCCUUUCGGGGGUACACGAGUGGCGAACGGGUGAGUAACACGUGAGUAACCUGCCCACAACUUUGGGAUAACGCUAGGAAACUGGUGCUAAUACUGGAUAUGUGCUCCUGCUGCAUGGUGGGGGUUGGAAAGCUCCAGCGGUUGUGGAUGGACUCGCGGCCUAUCAGCUUGUUGGUGGGGUAGUGGCCUACCAAGGCGGCGACGGGUAGCCGGCCUGAGAGGGUGACCGGCCACAUUGGGACUGAGAUACGGCCCAGACUCCUACGGGAGGCAGCAGUGGGGAAUAUUGCACAAUGGGCGCAAGCCUGAUGCAGCAACGCCGCGUGCGGGAUAACGGCCUUCGGGUUGUAAACCGCUUUCAGCAGGGACGAAGCUUUUUGUGACGGUACCUGCAGAAGAAGCACCGGCUAACUACGUG
rnacentral:rRNA from 1 species